UUUAAGAUAGAUGUUUAAAUCUUAAUGUAUUUUUCCAUUUUUAAUAUAAAACGGCAAUGUUUAAUACAAGAACUUGGACAAAUAGUCAAAUAGUUAUAUUUAUGUUUUUUUUCUUUUUUAUAUAAAAUGGUAAUGUUACAUUAUAAAGAUAAGCCAUUUUUUUUAGUGAAAAUGGUAAUCUUACAUAUGUUUAAUGUAGUUUUUCUAUUUUUUUAUGUUGUAUGUUUACGUAUUAUUGUUAUUUUUAAAUGUAAAAUGGUAAUCUUACAUAUGCUUAAUGUAUUAUUUCCAUUUUUUAUGUUGUAUGUUUACAUAUUAUUUAUUAUUUUCUAAAUUAUAUAUGGAGAUAAACCGUCUUUUUUUAGUGAAAAAUGGUAUAUGUAGUUUUUCCAUUUUUAUGUUGUAUGUUUACAUUUUAUUUUUUAAAAAUGAAAAUGUAAAAUGAUAAUCUUACAUAUGUUUAAUGUAGUAUUUCCAUUUUUUAUGUUGUAUUUUUACAUAUAUUU
rnacentral:lncRNA from 1 species